GGCAACUGAGUCUCCAGAGCUUCGGGGUGGAGGUUGCGGGGCUGCUCGACCCCCCCCCCCCCCACACACAUCAACUCAGGGUCAGGCUGGUUCGCAUGUGCCCCCCCCCCCUUUGUAGCCCCCCCCCAAUUCGGAGCUGCGCUCCGUUGUUCGGAGCCCGUUUCCCCCCCGGCCGGAGGCGGCAGCGCCGGGUGAUGCUCUGAGUCAGCUCCGGUUCAAUGAGACCCCCCGGCCAUUAUGGGGGGUGGGCAAUGGGGGGGGGGACCCUCUUUGGGGUCGCAGCUCCUAUUGGGUUGGGGGUCUCAGCCCAUAUUUGGGGUCUCAGCCCCUCUUUGGGUUUACAGCCCCUAUUUGGGGUCACAGCCCCUAUUUGGGGUCACAGCCCCUAUUUGGGGUCUCAGAGCCUCUUUGGGGUCACAGCUCCUAUUUGGGGUCACAGCCCCUAUUUGGGGUCUCAGCCCCUAUUUGGGUCUCAGGCCCUAUUGAGGAUCACAGCUUCUAUUGGGGGUCUCAGCCCCUAUUGGGGUCUCAGCCCCUCUUUGGGGUCACAGCUUCUAUUGGGGGUCUCAGCCCCUAUUUGGGGUCUCAGCUUCUCUUAGGGGUCCCAGCCUCCCUUUGGGAUCCUCAGUUGCCCCCCCCCCAUGUCACCGCAGGGCAGCAGGGCCGGGCCUGAAAUCGUGGGGGGGGGGC
rnacentral:lncRNA from 1 species